rnacentral:lncRNA from 1 species
AAUUAUUGCUCGACCAUUUGUAAUACUUACCUCUUCCUCAGGGUUCCUUGGAAGGAUUCAGUGUGAAAUACAGGAAAAAAUCCUUCUCCGAAAUCUCUCCCAAAAACCUCGUGCCUCUCUUUCUGAUGGAAUGAAAACAGAAACACGAGUAAUGCGAGUAAAAAAACGUGCGUAUAUACGGGAAACAAUGUUUCUCAACGUGCGCCAAAGUGCUGAACAUCCACGACGGAAAACAGAAGCUUCCUGCUCACGUGGCACCCAAAGACCCAUCAAUGCAAGAAUUAAAUGGGAAGCUUCACCAGCACCUCUUCUUUCGCUCCAGCGAAGAUCCCUAAUUUCUUGCCAAGUUAAACGAAUCCCGUUUCUCCUGUGCGAGGGUUCAUGACCAGGUGAACGGUCACCAGCACAAUCGACCGAACCGACUUGUAAAGAAGGGUCUGGAAAAGAUUUCGUAUAAUCCACUGAGGUUACCUCCAGAUCUUCAACCACCAACUCAGGCUCAGGGGCCGGAGUUGGUGGUUGAAGAUC